rnacentral:rRNA from 1 species
UACGUAGGGUGCAAGCGUUGUCCGGAAUUAUUGGGCGUAAAGAGCUCGUAGGCGGUUAGUCGCGUCUGCUGUGAAAACUCGGGGCUUAACUCCGGGCCUGCAGUGGGUACGGGCUGACUAGAGUGCGGUAGGGGAGACUGGAAUUCCUGGUGUAGCGGUGAAAUGCGCAGAUAUCAGGAGGAACACCGGUGGCGAAGGCGGGUCUCUGGGCCGUAACUGACGCUGAGGCGCGAAAGCGUGGGGAGCAAACAGG